GCGCGCUGAAGGGCUGGAGCCCCAAGUUACUCCUCGCCAGUGCUGGCCUCCGCUGUCAUUCGCAGGCUGGCCGGGGAAGGGACCCGCACGCCUGGCUUUGUUGUGGAAAUCCGGGUUACCUGGCUAAUAACCCACACCAUGGAUAACUUAUUGGACUUUGCCUGAAAGGAGUCAUUAGUGCCAUUGGAUAUUUGACCAUCCUGGCCACAGGUUUUUUCAGAAUGAAUGGAAGGUCAUGCAGCAUGAGUCUCCACCGGACAUCAGGAACCCCACAGGGGCCCGGGAUGGUCAGUGGCCAAUACAUUCCUCCCAUCCGAGCCCACUCUGGGACUCCUGGCCCCUCGUCCUGUGGCAGCACAGCGAGCCCUGCCAUCGGAAGCCUUGCUAACAGCCUUCAUCUCAAGAUGCCCUCGGGAGGAGGGAUGGCUCCUCAGAGCAACGUGGCCGAGAGCCCCCUCCAUCUGCCCGCCUUGAGCCCCAGGAGACAAGUGCUCACCAAUGGGAAGCCACGAUUCCAGGUCACCCAGGCUGGAGGCAUGUCAGGGCCACACAAUUUAAAGCCAAAGCAGCAGGAGUUUGGAAGUCCUUUUCCUCCAAAUCCUGGGAAAGGGGCUCUUGGCUUUGGGCCUCAGUGCAAGUCCAUUGGAAAAGGCAGCUGCAACAAUCUAGUGGUCACCAGCAGUCCCAUGAUGGUUCAGCGACUGGGACCCAAUUCACCUCCAGCAAGCCAGGUCUCUACAGCAUGCAACCAGAUCAGUCCUAGCUUACAGAGGGCAAUGAAUGCUGCCAACCUGAAUAUACCUCCUUCAGAUACCAGGUCCCUUAUUUCCCGCGAGUCUUUGGCGUCCACGACUUUGAGUCUCACAGAGAGUCAGUCAGCCUUGAGCGUGAAACAAGAGUGGUCUCAUGGCUACAGGGCUCUCCCGUCACUCUCCUCCAGCCACAGCUCCCAGAACGGCACUGAUCUAGGGGACCUCCUUAGCCUUCCUCCCGGGACAGCCGUGUCCGGCAAUAGCGUCUCUAACUCACUGCCGUCCUACCUUUUCAGCAUGGAGAACAGCCACUCCCCUUACCCCAGUCCCCGGCACUCGUCGGCCAGGCCCCACUCGGCCCGCUCCAAGAAGAGAGCGCUGUCCUUGUCUCCGCUGUCUGACGGCAUUGGGAUAGACUUCAAUACCAUCAUCCGCACCUCGCCCACCUCACUGGUCGCCUACAUCAACGGGUCGAGGGCCUCCCCGGCCACCAUGUCCCCGCAGCCUGAGGUCUACGGGCAUUUCCUGGGGGUGCGUGGCAGCUGCAUUCCCCAGCCGUGCUCGGUGCCGAGCAGCCAGAAGGGCGUGCGGGUGGCCAACGGUGGCCUGGUGCUCCCGGCCUAUGGCGAGGGCGGCGUGCUGGAGUGUGAGCGCAUGCAGCAGCUGGAGCACGGAGGCCUCCAGCCAGGGCUGGUCCACAACAUGGUGGUACAGCAUGGUCUGCCCAACCACGACGGCCAGCCAGGCGGCCUGCUGAAGACGGAGCGCCUCGAUGAUUUCCCGGGUGGUGCCCUGGACCUGCCCCCUGCGCCCCCUCUGCCCCCUCUGCCACCACCCCCCCAGGGCCCCCCGCCCCCCUACCACUCCCACCCCCAUCUGCACCACCAGGAGCUAGUGGCCCGGGCCCAGCCGCUGGCCCUUCCCCAGGAGGCCCUGGAGGAGGACGGGGAGAUGGAGGACGUUGGGGGCAAACACUGCUGUCGCUGGAUCGACUGCAGCGCCCUGUAUGACCAGCAGGAGGAACUUGUGCGGCACAUCGAGAAGGUUCACAUAGACCAGCGCAAAGGGGAAGACUUCACUUGCUUCUGGGCCGGCUGUCCUCGAAGGUACAAGCCAUUCAACGCCCGGUAUAAACUGCUCAUCCACAUGCGAGUCCACUCCGGGGAGAAGCCCAACAAGUGCACGUUUGAAGGUUGCAAGAAGGCCUUUUCCAGGCUUGAGAAUCUCAAGAUUCACUUGCGGAGCCACACAGGUGAAAAGCCGUACCUGUGCCAGCAUCCGGGCUGUCAGAAGGCAUUCAGUAACUCCAGCGACCGCGCCAAGCACCAGAGGACACAUCUGGACACUAAACCUUAUGCUUGUCAAAUUCCAGGAUGCACCAAACGCUACACAGACCCGAGUUCCCUACGAAAGCAUGUGAAGGCACAUUCUUCCAAAGAUCAACAAGCAAGGAAAAAGUUGCGGUCCAGCGCAGAGCUCCAUCCUGACCUGCUCACGGACUGCCUCACAGUGCAGCCCCUGCAGUCGGCCACCUCCCCACACGAUGCUGCUGCUGAUGGGGCGGUGGGAUGCUCCCCCGGGCCUGGGCCUGACCUCUAUCCAGCCUCCAUCUUCGGCAACAGUCAUUCAAGCCGAAGCGGAACAGCUGCUGGGCCCAUGCCAGCCCCGCAUGCCGUCGGCCACCCUUCCCCGGGCCAGAGUGUGCAGGGGAGCCCCCACAACCCUGCCUCCCAGUUACCUCCGCUCGCAGCUGUGGACGCGGGAGCCGAGAGGUUUGCACCUUCUGCCCCGUCUCCUCACCACAUCAGCCCCCGGAGAGUUCCAGCUCCUUCUUCAGUAAUGCCGAGAACGCAGCCUCCCCACACACAGCAGCCAGCAGGUGGGCCACACCUGAAGUCUUACCAGCUGGAAACAAACUCUUCCUUUCAACCAAGUGGGAUCCACGUCCAUGGAUUUUACGGGCAGCUACAGACAUUCCGCCCCCCCCAGUAUCCCGACUCCCAGAGAGCCGUGCUGCCCAGCAGCCCCUGCAGCGGGGCGCCUUCCCUCGAGGACUGCCUGGCCCCCACGCCCAUGGGGCAGGCCGGCUUUGAUGUGUUCCACAGAGCCUUCUCCGCUCACUCGGGCAUUGCAGUGUAUGAUUUGCCUUCAGGGUCUUCGAGCCUCUUCGGGGAGUCUUUUCGCAGCGGACCUGAGGACGCCACGUUUCUGCAGAUCAGCGCCGUGGACCGCUGUCCUAGCCAGCUCUCCUCUGUUUAUACUGAAGGCUAAAGGCUCCCCUGGCCUCCACCCCCACUGACACCCAGAACCUUUUUUGUCACUUGCCACCUUUUAUUUUCAUAUUCUCAUAGACUGCAUGAAAAGGUUGUCCGCCUCAUUGGUGGACCCUGCAGAAUCACAGACGUGUCUCUGGAAGGCAGGACUGGCCGGAGCCAGGCUUUGCAGGAAUGUGUUCAGUUGUCCUUUUUCUCUCUGGGUUUGCUGGUGACCAGCAGGCCUGGCUUUUCAAAGGGAAUUUAGAGUCACUCUACCGGACACCUGUGACUUCCGGCUGUCAGCUCUCAAAGGACACCAGUGAAAGGAUGCGUAUAUGAACAUACAGUCUGGGGAUCACGCUUGCGCAGAACUCCAAAGAGGGAAGGACAACCCAAACUGCCGGAAGCACAGUGAACCCCCCGCUGCUCCCCGUCCCCGCUGGCUCCUGCAAAAUCAGGCAACAGGGGAAACCUACACCCAAGCACAGCUUGGGCUCAACUCCUGGAGAAGCCCUGGCUCCUGGCACCGGCCCUGGCCUGGCAGCCCAGGGAGCUGGCUGCCUCUCUCCUCUUACUAUGCCCAUGCUAACCAAUUGCUUUUCAAUAUUUCUCCAAAAGCAAAAUAAGAAGGUUCUGUCAAGCACAGUCCCUUGAAAGGCACUACGACUUGUUUUAUAUUCCAGCAACUUAUCUUAGUUCUUUUAUUUUUAAAGACUUGUUAUUUACAUCUACUUUUAAAGGAAAAAAAAAUAUUUAGAGGUCUGUUCUUUGGACGGAAAGAAGUAGUGUAAUCACCCCAGUUACGUCCAUUUUGCCACCGCUGUAGCUUGGCCUGGCCCCACCUCACGCACCUGUGAACACCCCCCCCCCCACGGUAGUUUCGCAUUUCACAAAAGUGACCUGAGGGAAAGGGGGUGGGCCCAGCCCCCUUCCCAGGGCCGUAGCGGAAACCCUGGUGGGUUGACUGUUCGGUGACUCCACCUCGAAGACCUCGUUCCAUGGAAAAGAUCGCUUGACUGGUUGACCCAUUGCCUCCACUUGGUACUGUGCUGAGUCAUGCUAGAAGAUGUGAGAACAGGGACCCCCUGAUCUGAGAUCCUGGGUUCUCUCAGAAAACCCAACUAGAGGUGCCCAAUGUCCAAUGAUUUUGCAUAGCUUUUGCUCACCUCCUUUCGGAUACCCACUCAGCUGUCUGUCUGUCCCUCCCCCGUACUGUCCUCUCCACCCUCGCCAUUAUUCUCACCUCCUCCCGUCUGCAGUCAGCACACCCACCCGCCCUCGCCUGACCAUCCUUCCUCCCCGCAAGGUCUGCUCUGAGGCAGGGAGAGGGAAAGUUCAGGGAAGGUAAGCAGAAGAAGUUAACUUUUUUCCCUGAAACUCUCCUUUGAGAGCCUGGAAUGUUCACAGAGCUCUUGGUCAUUUGAUAGCAACCCUGAAUAGGAAGCCACUUUCUGGGAUGCGUUGACAAAGCUAUUAAAAAGAUCUUCAGUCCCACGCGUAGAUCCUAAAAAGUAGCCACACCCCAAAGACACGGGGUAAAGCCUGACAUUCCAGAACUGUCACAUUUCCGUUUCUUUCCUCUGGUAAAAUGAAACAGUGCCCUUUGCCCCACCGAGAUCAUUACAGUCUCCAACAAGAGUUCACCAGCACGGUGUCACCCUUGGGACCCGGGGACAGUUUGUCUCCUGACAGGCAGGUCCCCACAGUCGGGCUGCCCGGGCUGGACUUGAUCCCCAUGUGCCGUAGAGUGAGGGGACUAACGAGCCACAUGGGGGGGGGUCUCUUUUCCAGGGCCCAAGGUCAGUCUGCUUCCUUGGACUCGUGGGCUCUGAUCCGAGAAAGGCCACCAUGCAGGCGUCCAGAGCUGCAAAAGAGCGAGGUUACUCACUUUACAAACCUCUGCUCUGCUUUACGAAACAAGGCUCCUGAGGCUUCCCAGCCAGACGAGCUCCCAGCCUGCGCGUAAAACACCAGCCUCCUUGCAGACGUUGUGGGUUCUGUCACUGGGUGUAAACCAGGACACACGCAUGCCAGGGCGGCCGUCCCCCGCGGGUCCCCGUGCCCCACUCCAGAAAGGAAGUAAAAUGAAGGGAUUGUGCCCUUGGUACAGAAUAAAAACUGGAACUGGAGAAAACGGCCCACCUGCCUGAAAUCCCUGAAAUCCUCCUUCUGCACGGCCUUCUGAAACACAAUGGGAACAACCCAGGGGUGGGUGGGUUGGUUGGUUUGUUUGUUUGUUUGUUUGUUUGAUUAUUGUGUUUUGUUUUACCAUAAGCCUCCUUCCUAUUGGGAUGGUAAUUAUAAUUAAAAGCAGAUGGGGGUGGGGGAGGGCGAGUCCAAGGCCAGCUUGAAAAUGCCGCAUUGCUUUGGGCCAGAGCUGCAGCCUGGAUUUAAUUAUAGAUAUGAGGACAAAAUGGCAGUAAGAAUGAAUGUGUCCCCGAAUCCUUUACAUGUUGGGAGUGUCCAUAAAUAAAACAUGAAGUUUUAUUUCAUCAGAUUUAA